rnacentral:lncRNA from 1 species
AACUUUAAACUUUUCACGUUGUCGCUUUGUUUUCAACUUCUCUUUGUUGCUUGACUUUUCAUUUCUUCACCCUGUUCUCCAGGCAGGCUCCUGAAAUCAUAUAAAAACUAAAAAGAAAAUUAUCCUAAACAAAGAUUAUUAUAAAGAGAUUUAAUUUUUUGAAUGUAAUGUCUCAUUCUUCAGGAAGGUCCUGAACAAAAGUAAAAUCCCAUUUUUCAGGAGGGUCCUGAACAAAAAAUAAAUUCCAUUUUUCAGGAGGUUCUGAACAUAAAAUAAAAUUCCAUUUUCAGGAGGGUCCUGAACAGAAAGUAAAAUCCCAUUUUUUAGGAGGUCCUAAACUGAAAGUAAAAUCUCAUUUUCAGGAGGGUCCUGAACAGAAAGAAAAAUCUCAUUUUUUUGGAUGGUCCUGAACAUAAAGUAAAAUCUCAUUUUUCAGGAAUGUCCUGAACUGAAGCAAAUUCCUAUUUUUCAAGAGGGUCCUGAACAGAAAGAAAAAUCCCAAUUUUUAGGAGGGUCCUGAACAGAAAGAAAAAUCUCAUUUUUCAGGAGGGUCCUGAACAUAAAGUAAAAUCCCAUUUUUCACGAUUGUCCUAAAUUGAAGUAAAUUCCUAUUUUUCAAGAGGGUCCUGAAAACAAAGAAAAAUCCCAAUUUUUAGGAGGGUUCUGAAGAUAAAGUAAAAUAUCAUUUUUCAGGAGGGUCCUGAACUGAAGUACAUUCCCAUUUUUUUGGAGGGUCCUGAACAUAAAGUAAAAUCCCAUUUUUCAGAAGGGUCCUGAACAGAAAGUAAAAUCUCAUUUUUCAGGAGGGUCCUGAACAGAAAGUAAAAUCCCAGUUUUCAUGAGAGCCCAGAACAUAAAAUAAAUUCCCAUUUUUCAAGAGGGUCCUGAACAGAAAGUAAAAUCCCAUUUUUCAGAAGGAUCCUGGAUAGAAAGUAAAGUCCCAUUUUUCAGGAGGGUCCUGAACAUAAAGUAAAAACCUAUUUUCCAGGAGGGUCCUGAACAGAAAGUAAAAUCCCACGAUGUGCAUUUCCAAUGGUAGCUGAAUUAAGUGAAGCAAAUUUACCCCUGUUUCAACAAAGAAAAUUUUACAGUUAAGAACUUAGUGGUGGCUUGCGGCACUUGGCUGUCCCGACACCUGCUCCAACCGUUGUUUCUUUCACCUUUGUUUCAGAUCGUUGGCUUUUGCCCCUGUCUUGUCGCGUCAUUGACCCGGAUCCAAAUUGAGGGAAAUGAGUUCUGACUCAAACAAUGAAUUUCCAUUUUACCAUGCCUCUGAGAUGCACCCUUUUUAAAAAUCUGAAUAUUCCCACAAAUCCAGUAGCCUGUCGGUUGAUAGACUUCCUUUGUUUUGUGUUGAAUUAUGAUCAUAUUCCUUUCAUGUGAUAGUCCUUGGCUUUUCUCAUAUAAUUGGAAACACGGGUAGCAAGUUUUGAAAACCUUUCUCACUUGUUUUGACACUGAAAAGACUUGACUGAAAAUGUAAAGAAAUGAUGGUGACUUUUAUUUUGAUAAAUAACUUAAGAGACAAAAUGUGAAUAUGUAAAUGAAAGAAAAAGACAAUGUCCCUUAUUCAAAAAGAAACUUAUCUGAAUACGGCAACCAACUCCAAUGAGUAUGACAUGCAUUUUGGAUUAAGCUGCCUGAUCUUUCUAUCUAAACUUCCCAUUGUUGUUGAGUUCGUGCCUUUUCCGCUGCUGCUUCUUCCAACCCAUUGGACUCAUAUAUCUCAUUCAAUUAACGGCAUCUUGAAAGACUUUCGCCAAUAAAUCUCUUUUCAUUUUACUUUCUCUCGAUCUGGCCGUCGCCUUACGGUGCCCAUAAGGGUUUUCACCAAUAAGACUCUAUCAUUUUUAUUUCUCUCAACUCCCCAUCACUUUAUGGUGCCCGUGAGGGUUUUCACCAGUAAGACUCUCUCAUUUUUAUUUUUUUGACUCACCAUCGCCUUAUGGUGCCCGCUGGGGUUUUCAGCAAUAAGACUCUCAUUUUAUUUCUUUCCUGAUUUCUUAUGCUGAGGAAAACAAGUAAUACCCAAUAAUGUAUCAUCAUAUCCAUUGCAUGCUUAGCCUUAACAUUAUCAAAAAUUGAUCUAAAGUACUUUCUUUGGUUGUAACUUGGCUUUUGGAUAAAGUUAGAAAAGGAUGGCAAGAGGCUCAAACGACAGUUGAAGUGGGGUGGGACUUACAACUUUUGGAAUCAACUCAAAUAACACACUAACUCAUGCUCCAGUUUUUGUUGAUUGAGUUACUCUAAAAUCUUUAUUUGGUUGGACUGAGCCCUGAGUAAGGUAGCCUACGUAUAUCACUCCCAAGAGAGGAGAAUCAGGUCGCACAUAGUUCCAUCAACUUGUUCUUGGUUUUGAUUUGAUUUUUUUUCUUUUAUUUUCAAACUCUUUCUUUUAUUCUUAUUUUCCUGACAUUUACCUUUGAAUCUAUUUUGAUUCCAAAAGAGGGAUAUGUAACAAAAAUAAAACUAAGCUCAAACGGGUAAACAAAGGAUGACACAAUGUUUGGAUAGAAGAAUAAAAUGCCUUCAUCAUAUCAAUCUACAAAAAUGCAAGUACUAAAUAUGUAAUAAGAUCAACAAAGGAUAAAAUAUCAUACAUAAUAUCUUUUGACGCAUCAGCAUUGAUAGCCAUUUCUGUCAUUUUGCCUUCAAUAUCAAUCAAAUAUAAGGCUCCAUUAGGCAACACUUUCUUUACAAUAAAGGGACCUUGCUAGUUUGGGGAGAACUUGCCUUUUGCUUCAACCUGGUGAGGAAGGAUACGUUUCAAUACCAACUAACCAUCUUCAAAAUUCCUGGGACGGACCUUUUUGUUAUAUGCUUGAGCCAUCCUCUUCUGAUACAACUAGCUAUGACAUACCGACGUUAGCCUUUUUUCCUCAAUUAAACUCAAUUGUUUCAGUCGGGUUUUGACCCACUAAUCAUCAUCCAUCUUUGCUUCCACAAUGACUCAAAGAGAGGGAAUUUCAACUUAUGCAGGGAUGACUACUUCCGUCCCAUACACUAAUAAAUAUGGAGUUUCCCCUGUUGAAGUGUGAACAGUAGUGUGAUAACCUAACAGAACAAAUGGCAACUUUUCAUGGCAUUGUCUAGACCCUUGUAUUAUUUUCCACAGUAUCUUCUUGAUAUUCUUAUUCACGGCUUCCACAGAACCAUUGGCCUUUGGACGAUAUGGAGUGAAAUUUUGAUGUACGAUCUUAAACUGUUAGCACACUUCUUGCAUUAAAUGGCUAUUGAUAUUGACAGCAUUGUCUGUAAUUAUUAUCUUAGGAAUUUCAAACCUACAAAUGAUGUUGGCAUGAACAAAAUCUACCACAGCCUUCUUUGUUACUGACUUGAAAGUUACUGCUUCUACCCACUUUGUGAAGUAAUCAAUGGACACUAAAAUAAAUCUAUUCCCAUUUAACGCUUUCGGUUCAACCGGUCCAAUCACGUCCAUUCCCCAAGCUACAAAUGGCCAUGGAGCAGCCAUUGUGUGCAACUCAGUAGGAGGAGAAUGUAUCAGAUCACCGUGUACCUAACAUUGAUGAAACUUUUGAACAAGUCGAAUAGAAUCCCUCUCCAAAGUAAGACAGUAAUAACCUACUCGAAGAAUUUUCUUUGACAAGACAUAACUAUUCAUAUGCGGCCCACAUACUCCAGAGUGUAUUUCAACCAUGAUUUUCGAGGCUUCUCUUGCAUCCACACACCUCAAAAGUCCAAGAUCUGGGGUUCUCCUGUAGAAGAUUCCCCCGCUUAAAAAAAUACACUAGCCAAAUGCCUAAUAGUCCUCUUUUGAACAUUGGUGGCAUGUGUUGGGUAUUCUCCUGACUGAAUGUACCGCUUGAUAUCAAAGAACCAAGGUUCUCUAUCAAGCUUUUCUUCAACCCUACUACAGUAAGCAUGCUUAUCACGACUCUAUAUAUGCACUGGAUAGAUGUAGGCUUUAUCAGGAUGUUGGAGCAUUGAAGACAGAGUGGCUAAAGCAUCAGCAAUUUCAUUAUGAAUCCUUGGAAUAUGCAUAAAUUUUAUUGACACAAACCGUUGGCAUAGCUUCUGCAGGCAUUGUUGAUACGGUAUAAGCUUCAAAUCUCGCAUCUCCCAAUCGACUUAAAUUUGGUGGAUGAGCAAAUCUGAAUCCACCAACACUAAUAGUUCUUGGACUCCCAUAUGAACAGUUAACCUCAAACCAAGAAUACACGCUUCGUAUUCCACCAUGUUAUUGGUACAAUAAAAUCAAAGUUGUGCUAUUACUGGAAAAUGUUGCCCCGCCUCAGAAAUAAAAACUGUACCUAUUCUGACUCCUUUCAUGUUGAUAGCUCCAUCGAACAACUUCCAACUUGGAUCAGCAUCUAUAACGACUUCAUCGACAUACAACACUUCUUCAUCAGGAAAGUAUGUCUUUAGCGGCUCAUACUCUUCAUCAAUGGGAUUCUCAGCAAGAUGAUAUGUCAAGGCUUGGGCUUUUAUGGCAAUUUGAGUCAUAAGCAACAUUUUCCACUUUGCCAAUCGACCUAUCGGCAUAUGCUUCUAAAAAAUAUACUUCAAAGGAUCCAUACGGGAGAUGAGAUAAGUAGUGUAGGACGAGAGAUAAUGCUUCAACUUCUGCGCAACCCAAGUUAGGGCAUAACACGUCUUUUCAAGAAGAGUAUACCUGGCCACAUAUGUAGUGAACUUCUUGCUAAGAUACUAAAUAGUCUGCUUAUUUUUCCAAUGAUAUCAUGUUGACCCAAGACACAACCGAAAGAAUUGUCCAUGACUGAUAAAUAUAAGAUCAAAGGCCUACUACGCUCCGAUGGUACCAGCACGGGCGGAUUUGACAAAUAUCUUUUGAUUCUGCCGAACGCUUCCUGACAUUCUUCAGUCUAUUCUACCACAACACUCUUUUUCAGCAACUUGAAUAUGGGCUCACAAGUAGUUGUGAGUUGAGAAAUAAACCUACUGAUGUAGUUCAGUCUACCAACCAAACUCAUUACCUCUGUCCUAUUCUUGGGCGGGGGAAAAUACUGAAUGACUUUGAUUUUUGAGGGAUCCAAUUCAAUUCCCCGAUGGCUGACUAUAAACCCCAACAGCUUUCCAGAUGGAACUCCAAAUACAUAUUUUGUCGGGUUGAGCUUGAGAUUAUACCUGCAAAGCCUUUCAAAAAACUUUCUUAAAUCUUUAACAUGGCCAGCCUGAAUUUUUUACUUAAUAAUGACAUCAUCUAUAUAGACCUCAAUCUCCUUAUACGUCAUAUCAUGAAACAUAGUGGUCAUGGCUCUUAUGUGUAUUGCUCCAGCAUUCUUCAAACUGAACGGCAUCCCUCGAUAAGAAUAGGCCCCCCAUGGUGUGAUAAAAGAUGUCUUCUCCGCGUCUUCAUCAACCUUAAUGAUCCGGUGGUAUCUAUCAUAGCAAUCCAUAAAAGAGGCAACUUCAUGUUUAGCGAAGUUGUCCAGCAAAAUAUGGAUGUUGGACAACAGAAAAUAAUCUUUUGGACUUGCUCUGUUCAAAUCAUGGUAAUCAACACAUACCCGAAUUUUGCCAUCUUUCUUUGGGACAGGAACAACAUUGGAUAACCACGUGGGAUAAUGAGUCACUCGAAUUACUUUGGCUUCAAGUUGUUUCAUGAUUUCCUCUUUGAUUUUAAUACUUACAUUAGUUUUAAACUUCCUCAACUUCUGUUUGACAGGAGGGAAUGCGGGAUCAGUUUGCAAUUUAUGGGCCACUAAUUCAGUGCUUAAACCAGGCAUAUCAUCAUAAGACCAUGCAAAAAUAUCCUUAUAAUCAGUUAAUGCAUGAAUUAUUUCAUAUUUUAACUGUGGCAAAGCAUGUACACUGAUUUUAGUUUCCCUAACAUCUUCUUGAUUCCCUAGAUUGAUUGGCUCAGUUUCAUUCAAAUUAGGACUCGGUUUGUCUUCAAACUGUUCCAACUCUUUGCUUAUUUCUUCUAGUGCCUCUUCUUCAUCUUAUUCCCCCUCUUUCUUCAUUAUAUCUUGAUUAGUUUGGAUUUUAAGUUCAGGCUGAAAAUUCCGCAUGCAUGUCAUGUUAUUAGAAUCAACAUAAAGAGAACUGUAUAAAGAAAAGACAAAAAUGAAAUAUAUUUGACACAAAAUAAGAGGGACAUUGCAUUUCAUUUAAAAGGGAAAGAUAUGAGGGUUUAAACACAAAUAAUAGAAUAUGAAAAAGCUAAAUUUCGAAUUACAACCCUGGAAUAACUCGAAUAAAUUGAAAGAAAAACAAAAUGAACUACCAAAACUCCCUCUUGAUGGGGAGAGGAGUGACUUUCCAAUUGUUGAGACGGAUAACUAGGCCUAUGAACUGCACACCUGUCUUACUGGUACCUUCUCCUUCUUCAACCAUAUCAACUUUAAUAAAAAGGUUCUGGAAGUCAUCAAGCAAUUCAACUUCAAAUUCUACAUGCUUUGUGAUACCACUCUUAACAAAUGAUUCACUGAGUAGUGGCAUUGGGUGAGGGAGUGACCAUGUUUCCUUUUUCCUUCCCUUGGCUUUCUUUAGAUCUUCAGUCGUAGGCUCAAAUCCCAUAUCGAAAGUGCCCAUGUUCUCAUUUGGACAUAUGGGACGAACUAUACCGUGCAGAGAAGCUCCCGAACCCCUUCCUGGAUCGAAUCUAUAUUUCAAAAUUUCACUCACCAUCAUGAUAGAAGUGGAAGACAAUUGUGGUCCUAGUAUAUCCUGCCCUUCAAGGAUAUGAUCCACGUGCACUGUAUCAAAAAUUUGAUAUACAAAUAUCUCCUCUACAUUGUUUGCUUCAAUAAGAGACAAGGGAGAAUCUUCGUAGGCAGAUAAAUCUCCUUCACCAUGAGUAACCACUUCUUGCCUGUCAUGCUCAAAUUUAAUCUAGUGCAGUGUAGAUGCAACCACCUUGUCUUUGUGGGUCCACGGUCUUCCCAACAACAGAUUGUAAGGGGAUUCGAUAUUUAAUACUUGAAACUCUUUGGCGAAUUCGACAGGCCCUAUAAUUAGCAUUAGUUCUAUUUCGCCAUUGGAAUUUGAUUUUGCACCAUCAAAAACCCUGACGCAUACAUUAUUGGACCUAAUCCUCUCAGCACCAAUAUUUAACUUUUGUAAAGUAGAAAUAGGGCAGAUAUUUCCACCUGAACCUCCAUCGAUCAUGCCAUGAGUGACGUAGAAAUCUUCACACUUUACUAUAAUGUAAAGGCCCCGGUUAUGCCCUGUACCUUCAACAGGCAAUUCAUCAUCUGAGAAGCUGAUCCGAUUGACCUCAAAGAUUUUUCCAACCAUUUUCUCAAGAUGAUUUAUUGUAAUUUCCCCAGGAACAUAUGCUUCAUUUAAUACCUUCAGUAUAAUCUCACGAUGUUCCUUGGAAUGCAACACCAAAGCUAAGAGAGAAAUUUGAGCAGGGCUUUUCUUCAACUAAUCUAUUAUUGAAUACUCUGGAAACUUCAUCUUUUUCAAAAAUUCUUUGGCUUCUUCUUCAGUGAUAGGAUUUUUGAUAGAUGAAGGCCCACAUACCACUGGCUUGGGCUUCUUUAAACCUUCAGGCACGAAGCAUCUUCCUAACUGAGUCAAACCCCCUACCUCAUCUAUUUCUUCCUCAACUUCCUUCCCCUGAUAAAUCAACACAGUCCGCUUAUAGUUCCAGGGGACCUUUUUUGUAUCAAUAAUCUGAGGUUGGGUCACUGGUUUGAGGACAAUAGGCACUGCCAGUGCUCCUUUCACGGUUAAGAUAGGCUUACCCAAAGCUCCUACCACCGUCAACUUAGGUUUAUCCAAAACUUAAAUCAGCAUAUGUUUUGGCACAUUGCACUGUGAUCAGGGGUUUCUUUGUGCUUUAUUGGGCUUUAUCUUCUCCCAUUCCUUUCUAGCUUAAUGACCUUGCUUUCAAAGACUCUGCUACAUUAACCAAUUUUUCCUCACUGGUCUGUAUCUUGACAAUAGGCUUAUAACACCUUGAUGACUAUUUCCCAUCACAUAUCAAUUCUAACAUAUUAGUUUCAACAUGGUUGGCAGCGAAUUUUGGUUAAUGUUUGGAACCUCCGAGGCCUAGACCAAUAUCUGAUUUAUGUCAAUUAAAUCUUAGACAGCUCUUUUUAAAUGCCAGCAUUUCUCGAUAUCGUGGCCUGGCAUAUCAGAACAUUACACACACCUUAAAGAAUAAUCGAGACUCCUUUGAGUGAGAUUUGUAAGCCUUCCUUGAAUUGGGCUUAAGACCUUCAUUUUUCUCAGCCUAUCAAACAAACUAGCAUAUGACUCCCCAAGAUGUGUGAACUAAUUUUUGACCACCUUCUCUUUCUUGUACUCGAGUCUGGGUUGGAAACUGGGUCUGGAGUGGUUUUGGUAAUUUAGUAGAGCUGAUGGGCGAUUUUGUGGAGCUUGCGCGCGCUAUUGCUGGUAAGAAGGGGUUUGGGCAUAUGGCUGCACGCUAUAUACUAGGUACGGUGGUGGUGGAAUGGAAUAUAAUGGGUUUUGUAGAGGGUAGUAAUAGUGUGGAGGAAUAUAUGUUGCUUGGGUGUAGACUUGGGCUUGGGAUUGGGGAUAGGGGUGAGGCAUUCUUUUGGGAUAGGAAUGGGUUCCAGCUACAGCGGUCGCCACGUCCUCUUUCUUCUUUUUACCUCCGAAUGUGCCAGAUCCACCUUGAAUCGAUUGUGUGGUGGCUUUCAACGCUGCGAAAUUCACUAUUCGGCCGGUCUUGAUUCCAUCCUCUAUCAUCUCUCCCAUUUUGAGAACUUUAAGAAAAGACUUUCCCAUUGCUGGAAGUAAAUGUUUAAAAUAGGUCUCAUUUUGUGCUUGAAUGAAGACCUCUACCAGGUUACUUUCCUUCAUUGGAGGCUUUACCCUAGAGGCCUAUUCACGCAACCAUAUCACGUAUUCCCUAAAGCCUUCAGUUCUUUUCUUCUUCAUGUUGACCAAGGAUUUUUCGUCUAAAAUCAGGUCAACGUUAUACUGAAAAUAUUGCACAAACUCAGAAGCUAAGUCAUCCCAGUUGUUCCACUUGUAGAUAUCUUGAUCAACAAACCAUUCUGAAGCCAGAUCAGAAAGACUCUCACCAAAGAAAGCCAUGAGCAACUCUUCCCUUCCCCCUGCAGCCCUCAAUUGGUUGCAAUAACGUCUCAAGUGUGCCAUGGGAUCACCAUGCCCAACAUACUUCUCAGACUUGGGCAUUUUAAAAUCGAGGGGAAGGUUUACGUAUGGGAACAUGAAAAGAUCUUUAUAGGAAACACUUUUAUAACCUCCGAUUCCCUGAAAAUUCCUCAUGGCCUGUUCAAAACUUUUCAAUUUCUGCGCUAUGACUUCGUGUUCCUCUGUUGUGACAGGUUUCUCCGUAUCAAAAGGAAAUCCAGGUGGCUGAGUGUACCCAUACGGUUCAUUCAUUCUCAAAGUAGGCUCCGGGGCAUAAUACUGACUAUCUGGAACCUUUAAUAUUAGCUCACUGGCAGACCGAGGAAGCCCCAUUGUCGAACUCACAGAAUAUAUGGGAGCUUCAGGUGGUGGUGGAGCCACGAACACCAGUGUGAUCGGUGGCGCCGGCUGAGCAGCGGGUCUUGGUCGGGGAGCUGCCAAGGGCACACUAGAAGUGCUAGGAUAAUAAUAUCGGGGAGUGAAUCUUGGCGCAUGCUCAGGUGACUCAGUGGGAGCAGAGAAUUGCGCCUAAGAGAGCGGUUCACAAUUAGAGAUACUCCCAAGACCUUCAGGGAGCGGAGGAGGAGGCAUGCCACUAGUACAUUCUCGGUGCAAAUCCAUUAAUUGUUGACUGAGCCUUGCUACCUCAUCAUUUCGUUCUGAACUUUCUUCCCUGGGAUCCUGAUAUUGGUCAAUGAGAGAAUUUUCAAUCUCCUUGCUAGCCAUGGAGAGCUUUGAUUUUGAUCAUGUGAAGUACGGGUGACUAGCCAGAGUGCUGCAAACCUACCACUGUUAUCUUAAAGAAUAUGCUCAUCAAAGACGACAUCCGUUAGGAUUAGGGAACACAACAAACAUGGGAAUCACAUUGGUAAAAUUUUCCUAGAUUCAUAUUCAUUUCUACCAGCCUUUAAGGGUAGAGAGGUCAUUUUAACAUCAUCCCGAUUUUCAUAUACACUCAUUUGUUUCUUUCCUCCACACACACCUCCUUUCUUGCACACUCAUUUCCCUUUUUUUUAUCAGUCUCUAUUCUUUCCCUUUCUUAUCUUAUCAUCCUUUCUUUUUUUUUCUUCUCUUGCUAUCUACCUUCAUUUUAUCAUUAUUUAUGGCUUUGCUUUUCUUUAAAAGAGGAAAAAUAAUGAAAAACAACGAAACAAAAUGAUUAGAUCGAACCCCAAAGUAGGUUGCCUACGUAUCAUGUUGUACAUGAAUCAGAUCUUGCGUAGUUCGGGCAGCGCAUGCAUAAAUAUCACAAAGUUGAAGUUUUUUUUUUUUUUUGAAAAAUAAACAAAAAAGAACAACGCAACGUCACAUCAUUUCAUAAAAGAGACAACUAAAACAAACUUCAAAUUCAAGAAAACUUUUAAACUAAACAACGAAAGUUAAACAACACUCUAGACCCACCGGACAACAUACGUACUGCUCCUAAUAAAGACUCCAAAGUUAAUGCAAACUUGACACCGACUUAACAAAGACACAAUACUACAAAUGGCAAAAAGUAAAGGACUCAAACUAGACAAAUGAUAGGAAAUGGUCCUUCGGACUAGUGCUCUGCGUGAUAACCCUUGCUGAGAUGGACUAGCCUGUGAAGUUCUCUUUCUCCCAUUCAAACUAUGUAGCAUAUCUUGUAAGGACCUUUCGAUAUUUGGGAAGAUGCCUCUAACACGCAUUCCUUCAUGAGGAGUACACUUGAAAAGAUUGUUCUGACACCCCUCUACAAUUUUGAGCAAACCUAACAGCUUAACUCUUAAUGUCUCCACUUUGGCCCCCGCACCUUCAUCCUGAUGGUCGUCAACUAUGCAUUCUUCCUGUAUUCUCCCUCUAAGCUACAAUGGUAAUGGUUGGUUGAUACCCCAAGGGAUAGAUUAAAGCCAAACCACAUAUCCAUGAGUGUAGCCCGGAUUAUCCAAACUUUCUUUGAGAGUGUCCAAACCUAGCUUUGUUGCAUGCUUCUAGAACUGCUCAUAUUUUCUCUCACCUAAGGCUUGGUCAUUGCAUUACUCAACAUCCUUUAGAAGAUCCACCACUGGUGGUACGUCCUGCGGCCUACCCAACUGGCUUAUUACCCUAGAAGAACUGUAUGGUCUAGUGCAAUUGAGCCCUAACAUAACUAGAAGGAGCUGCAUCUGACAACCAAACAAGAUUAUCUUUGGUCGAAGCCACGGAUAAGUCCACAAAAUGUUAUCCUCGGCUCUUGACUCAAGAAAUUCAAUCCAAACGUCGACUCCCACGAGUAGAAAGAAUUUAUCCGAACACAACCUGAGGUCCAUGGCUUUCACUCGAUUAGGAAUACAAUGAUCAACCAUGUCUGGUCCAACUAAAGAAGGAGCAUGCAAAUUCUCCAUCAUCUAUAACUGCAAUAUCAGGUUACUGCCCUCAAAAAAUCUCAUCCCCCCUUCACUUCAGUUAAAGCCUUAUAUAUUUCUGUUAAGAUCAUGGGUAUGAGAGUGAACCUGCCUUUUUGAUUAACGACCUUGCCCUUUUGAUUAGUGCCCUUGUCAUUUUGAUCCUUAUGAAAUAGAGUCAUCACCAUAGAUUGCAAACAUAUAUUAAUACGUCUUUCUUCUAAAGUACCUAACAAAGCGAGGGUGAAGACUUCCAGGCGCUUUCUCUCCCACUUCUCCUUAGUCAUAUGAAAUUCAUCCCAACAGCAAUCAAAACCUUUCGAGGACCCAAAUAUAGCAAACAAAAAAUCUAAGGAAACCCACGAAUCACUUAAACAACCCAAAUGCAUACCCUUACUUUUUAAACCACAAGACUGCAAAAACCUCAUGCCAGUAUGAUUUCGUGCUCAAAUCAUAUAUUUCUCGAUAUAGGGAAAAUGCAACAGACCGGAUAUCUCUGCCAAAGUAGGAUUCAUUUUACAUUCUCCAAACCUGAACACCAAACUACUUGGAUCCCAAAAGGUCAACACAGUCUCUAUUAAAUCUGGACGAGGGGUAAUAUGUAGAAGUUUUGUAAGAUCACCUAAUAUUUUAAUCAGUUUCUACUUACCAACAUAGUUAAACAUGCCCCACCACUUGAUUAAAUUUUUGGGCACCUUGACAACCAUCAGGACUCUAGACUUGGUGGACAAAUUCAUCCUGUAAUAAAAUCUCAAAAAUUCGAUAGGAGCAGAUGAUUCCCAACCCUUGGGAUUCUUGACGCAGACAUAUGUCGAUGAGAGAGACCACCUCAUGACUCAAAUUUGCCGAACAGUACUACUGAACAAAAUCAGUCUACUUGGCUAACAACUCUAGAAUACGAGCCGAAAGACCUAGUCUAAUGAUAAGACAAAGGCCAAAAACGAACAUUACUGGACCCAUCGAGGGUUGCCUACGUAUCCCAACCUGAGGGAAGGGAAUCAGGUAUGCGUAGUUCAUCCCGAUUGGACAAUUAACGAUCAAUUAAUAGAUUGACCCUAACUCAAGAGACACAACCAAAGACAAAUGAAAAAAUUUUUUUUUUUUUUUUUUUUUUGCUCUUUAAUUGGACACUUCAACUAAGACUGACACCAACAACUAUGAAAAAAAAUCUUUUUGGUAUGUACAAAUUUCUACCAACCCUUUUUUUUUUAAUAUUCUUUUAUAAAAUCUACUACUAUAUAAAAAUCUCUUUUUUUUUCUUUAAAUUUUCAAAUUAUGAAUGCUUAUUAAGAAAAAGAAAAAUCUUUUUGUACUUUUGUUUUUGACAAAUAAGUAGAACAGGUAAACAAAAUCCUCUUUUUUUUUGUUGAAUUUACGGUACUUUGAGGAAAUAAAUGCAAAAGGUAAAAAAAAAAUCUUUUUGAGUUUUUGGAUUGUGAAGAACAAAAGUCAUAAAGAACUCUAAAAUAAAAUACGGCACUUUUUUUUUUCUUUCUUUUUUACUCACUUUUUCUAUUUUUUUUUUCAACAUUUCUUGCCUACAUACCUUACUUCUAACACAUGUUUUCCCCAAAUCAAUCCGUCAAAUGACCACGUUACCCUCAAAGAUACAACAUUUAGCACGUAGGGAUGCUUUAAAGGUGAGUCUCCUACAAAGGGCCAUGUGGGUCCCGCUAAGUCUCAAUAUGAUGCACAUAAGCAUGAGCUAAAGGCUGACCUACGUUGGGGUUCACUAACAAGGCUGUUCGGGGGAGCGUAUGGUUGAUAGUGGCUGCUUUGCUUUCCACCUACUCCAUGACACCGACGGCUCCCCCCCUAAAACAAUGGUGACUCAACUAAAGGUCGUGUACAACACAUGUACUACGAACUUAUUGCAGAAAGAAGGCUUGGGGUAGACACAUGAUGCAAGAUAUAAAAGAGGUAACACAUAGGAUAAAUACUACACACAGAGCAUGAAAACAUUCCACAAUGAUAAAACAAAAAACACAAGCAAAAUGUUUAUACACCUAUAGUUCCAAACAAAGCCGAUACGACUCCAAAAUAAGCUCAAAUUCUGAACAAUUUUGCAGCAGAGUCUCCAGAGCUGUCACACCUUUUUUUCAACAUCCAAAAGAUUCCAUUUUAAGGUUUGAAAGGGUUUUUACUAUUAAGUGAGAAAAGAUUAAAAAUUUAUUUCGAAAAAGGACUAUUUUCAUUUUUUAUUCAGAUUCUCCACUUGGCAUAAUCCGGUGUGCGAAGUCACCUAUGGAAAAUCCUUUUCGAAAUGGUUUGACUCUAAAAACUGAUCCACGAACAGAGAUACCAAUUAAGGAAUUCUGUUGACUGAGGGAAAGGUGUUAGACACCCCUCGAUCCAGUGGGUUCUGCCAGGGUCGCUUGAUGGAGCGUAUCGGCUAAUUUGACAUUAUAAAAUACAUAAACCACAUAAAGCAAACAAAACAAUCAAGCAAGCAAAUAAAACAAAACAAUCCAAAAUUUAGCUUCCAGUCCAAUUUAUUACAAACCGAAAUAAAAAUACAGAAAUAACCUACGCUAGACCUAAACUAUGCUUUACCCGAUGCCUCAGGCCUUGAUCACGAACAUCCUUCACAUAUAAAAUACUUCGGGGCAUUCCUCGAUGAGUAAAUACAAGUGACCUCGAGGCAUUCCUUCGCAAAAUGAAUACAUCUUUUCAAUGCGAUAAAACUAAACCAUUCAACAAAAUUUCAAACAUUCAACUAAUCCACAAAUUCUAAACUUUGCCUACCCAACCUACGUUUGCCUACCUCACUCGACUUAUCAUGAUACUAACAAGUUUGAUUAACGUUCAUCUCAAGUCAAACAAUAAUUCAUGAAUCAAACUUACCAAAUGUUACCUUUUUGGCAAGUUUCAAUUCCACCUCCCAAUUUCUUUUUUUUUUAAUUCUUAACGAGAUAUCAUUUCAUUACAUAAUCUAUAAACAGACAAAGAAUCGAAACCAACAACUAUUCAUCAUAAACAAUAAUCAACCAACACAUAAUAUUUCAUUCAAUGAACCGAAUAUCACAAAUAAUGAAAUAAAAAGGGAAAGAGAGUAGAAUUAGACCUCAAUCUGACGUUCUAUUUCAAUUAACUGAUCUUUUCGAAUAGAACCGCGUCCAAAUAGAACCUCAACAUCGAACCACAAUCACGAACCCAAAUCAAAAACUUCGAUCUAGAACUCCAAUUUACUCAGACUUGCUUUCGAGCAAGGCUCCACGAAGAACAAAUGAAAACAAAAUCAAAAUCAAGGCUCCGAACUGGAACAAACCAGAAACCUGUAUGAUUGUUUCCAGAUGAGAAGUAACCAAAGUCGGCCUAAAAAAUGAUCAAUUCAAAUCAGUGCGGACCAUAAUUAAACAUUUUCCGGUGAAAGAAUGCUAUUUUUUGGCCAAGAAGCUGGAAUGGUCAUCCCCAAUCCCUUUUCUCUCCUCUCUCUCCCAAUAUCACUCUCUCGCAGCUCGGUCUUUAUCACUCUAUCUCUCUCUGCCUUCUCGAAUCUCUCUCUCUACCUCUCUCAAUCUAUCUCUUUUUGUUUUUCAGCUCUCACUCGUGGAGAAGAAAACAAAAAAGGACUGGUGGAAAAGAAAAGAAAAUGGCGUGAAUCACUCUUCUUCCCUAUUGAUAGCCCUCGUGAAGAAGAUGAAUUGUGAACUCUCACUCUUCUCCCUCUUCCUCUCGCAUCUCUCUCUCCUACCUCCUCCUCCCUUGCAGCUUUCUGUGUGUAUAUAUUGUUUUUCCUAGUCCCCGAAAGCUGCCAGGAAAUUUCCCUUUUAUUUUUAGUUUUCUUUUUCCUUAUUAUUUCUUUGUGGUCAAGAAAUGUGAGGGAGUGGGGUCACGUGGGUGCGGGGUGUGGUAGUAGGUGAGGUGUAAGUUUUUAAUUGCAGGGGUAGGGGUUAGGUGUCCAUUUUUUAUUGGGUGGGUUGUUGGAAUUAUAAAGAUAGGACAAAAUUAGUUAGGUUUGUUAAAUGGGAUAAAAAAAAAAGAGUGAAAAGAUGAGGUGAUUAUUUAUUUUCUUGAGGAAAAAUUACUACGCGUAUAGGGUACGUAGUAAAUGGGGUAAACGCUAAAAUUUGUGAAGGAAUGAAAUUACGUGUCUACAAGAGCAAUUUAAAACAGCUCAUAAACAUAUCAUAUGGUAAGUGUUUUGACGAAAUUUUAAAUUUAAGAGAAGAGUCUCCACUUAAUUUUGAAAAGAAAUUAAAAAACCUUUAUAAAUACUUUAAACGAUCCAAAACAGGAAAAUCAUUUAAGAAAGAGAUUCUAAGUAAGUGAUUCCUAUUAACGUUUUAGGAAGGUGUUAGGCACCUAAAACGUCCGCUAACUUGCGGUUAUCCGAAAUGUUUGAAAAUCGUCUUUUGAUUAUCUUCGAAAAGAUUAAUUUUGUCAAAAAUUAAUAGAUUUUUUGGAAAGAAAGCGAUUUUGAAAAUAUUUUGGUGUUUAUGCAAAACUAGUUUCUUAGCGACUUAACUAAGGAUUUAACUAGGUUCGCAAAGUACAUAAGAAAAACAAACAUAAAGAACAGGGGGAGGGGAGGAAGUAAGGGAUUUAGGCCAUUGGCCCAAAUCAACAAAACCUAUCC